rnacentral:rRNA from 1 species
UGCACCACACCUACGGGUGGCAGCCGUCGAGGAUCUUCGGCAAUGGGCGCAGGCCUGACCGAGCGACGCCGCGUGCGGGAUGAAGGCCUUCGGGUUGUAAACCGCCGUCAGAGGGGAUGAAAUCACGGUGGGUACUCCCAUCGUGUUGACAGAGCCUCAGAGGAAGCGCGGGCUAAGUUCGUGCCAGCAGCCGCGGUAAUACGAACUGCGCGAACGUUAUUCGGAAUCACUGGGCUUACAGGGUGCGUAGGCGGCGGAGAAAGUAGGGUGUGAAAUGCCUUGGCUCAACCAAGGCACAGCGCUCUAAACUACUUCGCUGGAGUGAGUCAGGGGUGCGCGGAACUUCCGGUGGAGCGGUGAAAUGUGUUGAUAUCGGAAGGAACACCGGUGGCGAAAGCGGCGCACUGGGGCUUAACUGACGCUGAGGCACGAAAGCCAA